CCCUAGGCUAAGCUAGUUCCUUGUCGAAACCAUGACGUGAUGACGAUACCAGUGUUUUUAUGAUCGCUGACAAAUCGCAUGCAAGUUCUCAAAUUAUUUUGUCAAAUUUUCUUUAUUGACCCAUACAAACGAGCAAAAUUUGCACCUUGCCUAUUUUUUCUAACACAAGUGCACUGUUUCAAAAGCUAUACAGUAAUAUGUUAUAUGUACCCUGGUUCCAGAGGUUCUUGUGCCAAUGCGAGCGAGAAUAGGGCGGAAGAUACGAGAACAGAGGGCAACCAGGGUAAUCUUCUAUGGGUAAUCGCCGGUUUGUGCCAGUGUAGGUCGUGUCAAUAAUAAUAAAAUUUGGGUUGACAGAAAUGCAACUACCUGAAUUUACAAGGAGAAUUUCAUGGAAAUGUCGAAAUUCUCCUUGCAUUUUUCAGGUAGUUGUAGCCUGAAAACUAGCCUGAUAACAGACCAACGUUUCACCCAUCCUAAAAUUCGUCGACCCGCGAAUUUUAGGGCGGGCGAAACGUAGGUCUGUUUUCAGGCUAAGGUAGUUGCAGCCAUAGAGAUUAUAAAUAACACUAGAGGAGGCAUCGAGUUUAAAAAUUGGGAACGCAGCUAAUGGGGGGCAAAUUCAAGUCCCGGAUAUAAAAUCGUGCUCUCAUUGGCUGAUUUGAAACUCG